rnacentral:rRNA from 1 species
UACGAAGGGGGCUAGCGUUGCUCGGAAUCACUGGGCGUAAAGCGCACGAAGGCGGAUUGCUAAGUCAGGGGUGAAAUCCUGGAGCUCAACUCCAGAACUGCCUUUGAUACUGGCGAUCUUGAGUCCGGGAGAGGUGAGUGGAACUGCGAGUGUAGAGGUGAAAUUCGUAGAUAUUCGCAAGAACACCAGUGGCGAAGGCGGCUCACUGGCCCGGUACUGACGCUGAGGUGCGAAAGCGUGGGGAGCAAACAGG